UACGUAGGGUGCAAGCGUUUAAUCGGAAUUACUGGGCGUAAAGCGUGCGCAGGCGGUUUUGUAAGUCUGUCGUGAAAUCCCCGGGCUCAACCUGGGAAUGGCGAUGGAGACUGCAAGGCUAGAGUUUGGCAGAGGGGGGGUAGAAUUCCACGUGUAGCAGUGAAAUGCGUAGAUAUGUGGAGGAACACCGAUGGCGAAGGCAGCCCCCCUGGGUCAAAAACUGACGCUCAUGCACGAAAGCGUGGGGAGCAAACAGG
rnacentral:rRNA from 1 species